AGUGAACGCUGGCGGUAGGCCUAACACAUGCAAGUCGAACGGCAGCACAGUAAGAGCUUGCUCUUACGGGUGGCGAGUGGCGGACGGGUGAGGAAUACAUCGGAAUCUACUUUUUCGUGGGGGAUAACGUAGGGAAACUUACGCUAAUACCGCAUACGACCUACGGGUGAAAGCAGGGGAUCUUCGGACCUUGCGCGAUUGAAUGAGCCGAUGUCGGAUUAGCUGGUUGGCGGGGUAAAGGCACACCAAGGCGACGAUCCGUAGCUGGUCUGAGAGGAUGAUCAGCCACACUGGAACUGAGACACGGUCCAGACUCCUACGGGAGGCAGCAGUGGGGAAUAUUGGACAAUGGGCGCAAGCCUGAUCCAGCCAUACCGCGUGGGUGAAGAAGGCCUUCGGGUUGUAAAGCCCUUUUGUUGGGAAAGAAAAGCAGCAGGUUAAUACCCCGCUGUUCUGACGGUACCCAAAGAAUAAGCACCGGCUAACUUCGUG
rnacentral:rRNA from 1 species